CGGGAAGAGCUCAAAUUUGAAAUCUGGCGGCUCAGUCGUCCGAGUUGUAAUCUGGAGAAGUGUCUUCCGCGUCGGACCGUGUACAAGUCUCUUGGAACAGAGCGUCGUAGAGGGUGAGAAUCCCGUCUUUGACACGGACUACCGAUGCAAUGUGAUGCACUCUCGAA
rnacentral:rRNA from 1 species